rnacentral:rRNA from 1 species
UGGGGAAUAUUGGACAAUGGGGGCAACCCUGAUCCAGCAAUGCCGCGUGUGUGAAGAAGGCCUUCGGGUUGUAAAGCACUUUUAUCGGGAACGAAACAUUGUCGGUGAAUAUCCGGCAAGACUGACGGUACCCGAGGAAUAAGCACCGGCUAACUUCGUGCCAGCAGCCGCGGUAAUACGAAGGGUGCAAGCGUUACUCGGAAUUACUGGGCGUAAAGGGUGCGUAGGUGGUUUUUUAAGUCCGUUGUGAAAUCCCUGGGCUCAACCUGGGAAUGGCAGUGGAUACUGGAAGGCUAGAGUGCGGUAGAGGGUAGUGGAAUUCCCGGUGUAGCAGUGAAAUGCGUAGAGAUCGGGAGGAACACCAGUGGCGAAGGCGGCUACCUGGACCAGCACUGACACUGAGGCACGAAAGCGUGGGGAGCAAACA